rnacentral:rRNA from 1 species
GAAAGUAAGAAAGGGCGCAUGGCGGAUGCCUUGGCUCAUGGAGGCGAUGAAGGACGUGAUAAGCUGCGAUAAGCUUCGGGUAGAUGCAAAUAAUCUUUGAUCCGAAGAUUUCCGAAUGGGACAACCUAGCGUGUUGAAGACACGUUACUCUUGCUAAUCAAGAGAGCUAACGCAGGGAACUGAAACAUCUUAGUACCUGUAGGAAGAGAAAAUAAUUUAAUGAUUUCCCUAGUAGUGGCGAGCGAACGGGAAACAGCCCAAACCUAUGACGUAGCAAUGCGCCAUAGGGGUUGUAGGACCACGACAUUGUAUUAAGUCAAUCGAGAAGAAUAUUCUGGAAAGAAUAACCAUAGAGGGUGAUAGUCCUGUACUCGAAGUGCGACUUAGCAUAGUGGUAUCCUGAGUACCGCGGAACACGUGUAAUUCUGCGCGAAUCAGCCGGGCCCAUCCGGUAAGGCUAAAUACUCCCAUGAGACCGAUAGUGAACGAGUACUGUGAAGGAAAGGUGAAAAGCACUCCGCGAGGAGAGUGAAAUAGUUCCUGAAACCAUGCGCCUACAAGCGGUCGGAGCAAAGUAAUUUGUGACGGCGUGCCUUUUGCAUAAUGAACCUACGAGUUACCAUGUCUGGCAAGGAUAAGUGAUUCAGUCACGCAUCCAUAGUGAAAGCGAGCCUGAACAGGGCGUUAUAGUCAGAUGGGGUAGACGCGAAACCAAGUGAUCUACACUUACCCAGGUUGAAGUUCGGGUAACACCGAAUGGAGGACCGCACCAAUAAGCGUUGAAAAGCUUCUGGAUGAGGUGAGUGUAGGAGUGAAAGGCCAAUCAAACUUGGAGAUAGCUCGUACUCCCCGAAAGGCAUUUAGGUGCCGCGUGCUACGAUCAGCAUAAGAGGUAGAGCGACCGAUAGGUCAAGAGGGCUUCACCGCCUAUUGCGACCUGACGAACUCCGAAUGCUUAUGUUUUGCAGUAGUGCAGUAAGGGGGCGGGUGCUAAGGUCCGUCCCCGAGAGGAGAAGAAUCCAGACCGUCAUCUAAGGUCCCGAAAUUCUGUCUAAGUUAGUCUAACGAAGUGUGGUCCCCGUGACAGCUAGGAUGUUGGCUUGGAAGCAGCCAUUCAUUCAAAGAGUGCGUAACAGCUCACUAGUCGAGGGUCCGUGCAUGGAUAAUAAUCGGGUAUUAAGUCAGAUACCGAAGGUGCGGGAUAGUAUUGUAUAUAAAAAGUAUCGGUAGGGGAGCAUUCCAUCGGCGCAGAAUAUAGACCGUAAGGUUUGUUGGAGCUUAUGGAAAAGCAAAUGUAGGUAUAAGUAACGAUAAAAAGGGUUAGAUUCCCUUUCGCCGAAAGACCGAGGUUUCCCGGGCGAUGCCAAUCAGCCCGGGGUUAGUCGAGUCCUAAGUCUCAUCCGAACGGAGCAGGCGAUGGCAGAUGAGGUUAAUAUUCCUCAACUUGCUUAUAUAGUGAAGUGGAGACGGAGCAGUGACACUGUCGCGUCCUGACGGACAUGGACGUUUAAUAUUUUAGGUAUUGAUAGGUGCAGGCAAAUCCACACCUUGAGCUGAGAAUAGAAAGUACAACCUUCUCUUCGGAGAAAGUUGAUAGUACAGGUAAUCAUACUCCCGAGAAAAUCCGCUAGCGUUAAUAUUUAAGCAACUCGUACCGCAAACGGACACACGUGGUCGGGUAGAAUAUACUAAGGCGUUGAGAGAUUCAUGGUUAAGGAACUAGGCAAAUUGACCCUGUAACUUCGGGAUAAAGGGUCCUCGUAUUUAGCUAUACGAGGCGCAGAGAAUAGGUCCAGGCAACUGUUUAACAAAAACACAGGGCUGUGCUAACUCGAAAGAUGAUGUAUACAGCCUGACACCUGCCCGGUGCUGGAAGGUUAAGAGGAGAGCUUAGAUGUAAAUCGACGGUUUGAAUUGAAGCCCCAGUAAACGGCGGCCGUAACUAUAACGGUCCUAAGGUAGCGAAAUUCCUUGUCGGGUAAGUUCCGACCUGCACGAAUGGUGUAA